GACGAACGCUUGCGGCGUGCUUAACACAUGCAAGUCGAACGGAAAGGCCCUGCUUUUGUGGGGUGCUCGAGUGGCGAACGGGUGAGUAACACGUGAGUAACCUGCCCUUGACUUUGGGAUAACUUCAGGAAACUGGGGCUAAUACCGGAUAGGAGCUCCUGCUGCAUGGUGGGGGUUGGAAAGUUUCGGCGGUUGGGGAUGGACUCGCGGCUUAUCAGCUUGUUGGUGGGGUAGUGGCUUACCAAGGCUUUGACGGGUAGCCGGCCUGAGAGGGUGACCGGCCACAUUGGGACUGAGAUACGGCCCAGACUCCUACGGGAGGCAGCAGUGGGGAAUAUUGCACAAUGGGCGGAAGCCUGAUGCAGCAACGCCGCGUGCGGGAUGACGGCCUUCGGGUUGUAAACCGCUUUCGCCUGUGACGAAGCGUGAGGGACGGUAAUGGGUAAAGAAGCACCGGCUAACUACGUGCCAGCAGCCGCGGUGAUACGUAGGGUGCGAGCGUUGUCCGGAUUUAUUGGGCGUAGAGGGCUCGUAGGUGGUUGAUCGCGUCGGAAGUGUAAUCUUGGGGCUUAACCCUGAGCGUGCUUUCGAUACGGGUUGACUUGAGGAAGGUAGGGGAGAAUGGAAUUCCUGGUGGAGCGGUGGAAUGCGCAGAUAUCAGGAGGAACACCAGUGGCGAAGGCGGUUCUCUGGGCCUUUCCUGACGCUGAGGAGCGAAAGCGUGGGGAGCGAACAGGCUUAGAUACCCUGGUAGUCCACGCUGUAAACGGUGGGUACUAGGUGUGGGGUCCAUUCCACGGGUUCCGUGCCGUAGCUAACGCUUUAAGUACCCCGCCUGGGGAGUACGGCCGCAAGGCUAAAACUCAAAGGAAUUGACGGGGCCCCGCACAAGCGGCGGAGCAUGCGGAUUAAUUCGAUGCAACGCGUAGAACCUUACCUGGGUUUGACAUGGAUCGGGAGCGCUCAGAGAUGGGUGUGCCUCUUUUGGGGUCGGUUCACAGGUGGUGCAUGGCUGUCGUCAGCUCGUGUCGUGAGAUGUUGGGUUAAGUCCCGCAACGAGCGCAACCCUUGUUCACUGUUGCCAGCACGUUAUGGUGGGGACUCAGUGGAGACCGCCGGGGUCAACUCGGAGGAAGGUGGGGAUGACGUCAAGUCAUCAUGCCCCUUAUGUCCAGGGCUUCACGCAUGCUACAAUGGCUGGUACAGAGAGUGGCGAGCCUGUGAGGGUGAGCGAAUCUCGGAAAGCCGGUCUCAGUUCGGAUUGGGGUCUGCAACUCGACCUCAUGAAGUCGGAGUCGCUAGUAAUCGCAGAUCAGCAACGCUGCGGUGAAUACGUUCCCGGG
rnacentral:rRNA from 1 species